CAAGCCGUAAACGAUGCCGACUAGGUGUUCACUACUCGAGAGAGUAGGGAGUGCCGAAGCCAACGCGAUAAGUCGGCCGCCUGGGGAGUACGGUCGCAAGGCUAAAACUCAAAGGAAUUGACGGGGGCCCGCACAAGCAGCGGAGCGUGUGGUUUAAUUCGAUGCUACGCGAAGAACCUUACCUAGGCUUGACAUACAGGUAGUAGGGAACUGAAAAGGGACCGACCUUCGGGAGCCUGUACAGGUGC
rnacentral:rRNA from 1 species